rnacentral:lncRNA from 1 species
CCUGUUUAGUGCUGGGAUUGUAGUCCUGCGAGCCUACGACUAAUAGCUGGGUGCGGAUAAGAGACUACAGCUCCCCCCAUUCCCAGCAAAGGUCCCUCCUCCACCGAGCUCCUCCAGGCUUCCAGUGCAGUUCCGCCGUGCGGAGGGAAGCUUGGCUGUUCACAAACCUCUCCUGCCCGCGAGGAGACAGCUUGGCCAGGGCGGCUGAUCUCACCUUGUCAUUGUGACACGGUGUCUCCCCAACGUGCUGGCUUCAUGACUUGUGCCCAGAGUUUGAUUUUCCACAGACCAGGUAGAGGCCAAGAGCCUCUCACAGACUCUGCAGCAGGGUUG